UACGGGGGGGGCAAGCGUUGUUCGGAAUUACUGGGCGUAAAGGGCGCGUAGGCGGUCAGACCAAGUCGAGUGUGAAAUUCCAGGGCUUAACUCUGGCACGCUCGCUCGAUACUGGUCGGCUAGAGUGUGGAAGAGGAUGCUGGAAUUCCCGGUGCAGCGGUGAAAUGCGUAGAUAUCGGGAGGAACACCAGUGGCGAAGGCGGGCAUCUGGGCCAACACUGACGCUGAGGCGCGAAAGCUAGGGGAGCAAACAGG
rnacentral:rRNA from 1 species